ACGGGAUCUAGUGUGAUGGCAGGAUUAAGGCUCAGAUAAAUCUGUAGUGGUUGUAAUGAGAUUUCAAAAUAAAAAAUAAAAUAGGAUUUCCAGAUGAAUAGUCUAGAGCCCCUUGGUACAAUGCACAAACUAUGUCAAAAUCAAUGCCUAAGAUGUCGAGGUCAUUUUAAAAGCCUUCAGAGCCUGUGUGUAUGAGACAUUUUCCCGGUGGCCCCGGGUGCGGGAGAGCCUCCCCUUAACCCCAGUGUUUCCAGCACCGCGCCACGGCGGGGCCCAGGACCGGCCCGGGACAGGAGCGGCGGGGCCAGGCGCGGGGGGCCGCGGCCACCACGAGCCCCGUGACCUUGCCGCGGCCACCGAGGGCCACCCGCGGUCGCCACCAACUUCUCAGCGGCGGAGGCAGCAGCAGCGCAAGUUGGCAGCCGCCGGCUGCUCGCCUCGGGCAGCAGCGGGAGGGCGGCCCGCGCUCUUCUGUUCCCUAAAAAAAAAAAAAAAAAAAAAGGAAAAAAGAAAAGGGAGGAGGAAGGCGGAGGAACGACAGAACGACAGACAGACGGCGGCCGGCUCCAGGAGGACAGAGCUCUGCUUGGUGAUUUGAAGGAGUCAUUGCAGAGGUGAUUAUUUCUUCAUCUGAUGAAGUUGCUGGACUGGUACCUCAAGUGAAAGUAUUGUGGCACCCAUCUAAUGUGUAUACAUGCUCUUUGCUGAAGAAGGAAGAAGAAUCCAGUCCCAGAUGUUGCAAAUAAUUGUGGUCUGUGGAACAAGAAAUGAGGCAAGAUGGGGUCAGGGACAGUACUGGGCCUUCAUAGUGACAGUCCACAAAAAGCUUCAUUUUGCUUAUGGCUAACAGUGAGCUUUAUACCCAUCUUUAUUCACUUUAGAGAGAAGCUGUUUCUUUUGUUUGGUUGGAUUUUUUCAUCAGCUGUAGUAUGAGCCUGAACAGUUCCAUAUCCAGUCAAAUGUAGAGAGAUUUCUUUUCAUCUUUAGUCACCUUACCUUAAUAGCCAUUGGAAUGGCAUUUGGAGGAAAAAGAAUUUGGAUGACAUAUGACCUCAAACACUGGUGUAAGAGCUGUAUGUCAACAACAGUAUCCAUACCUAAUAAUACAAAAUAAAUGCUAAUUACCUGAAAUGGCCUUUAUAUGC
rnacentral:lncRNA from 1 species